GUGGGGGGGAAAUGCAAAAAGAGUUGGGCGCACGUCAGCCUUGCAGCCUGCCCUGGAGCGAGGGGAGGUGGGUCUGCAGGCUUUGCAUCCCACACAGAGAUCUCCGCUGCCAUCAUUAGACGGUGGUAGGUCAGGCGUAGGCCGGGGCCCACCGGAACGCUCCGGGUCUCAAUGUCCAAUGUCUAUCACAUGAAUGUCCUUGCUGCUGGAAGUUUGGUCUCUGGAUAACAUGGACCUAACCAGGAAGCUCAGACUCCACCUCAGAGGCGCUGAGUCAGAUCCUACGUUUCCUAAGAUUCCAGGUGACGCGCACGCACACCAGCGUUGGGCGGCUUUGGACUCGAUGCAUGAAUGUCAGUGUCAGUGUUAUAGCAACAACUCUGCUGGAAACUGUUUUUCUGUUGGAGGCAGAGGGUGACAAACUAAAAAGAGGCAUUUGAUAGUUGGAGAAAAGAAAAAACAAGCUACAUUAAGUUUCAAGGUAGGGGAUCACCUUUAAUCCAUUGCCACAAACAGAGUUAAACUGCAGUGGGAGAAAGGUGUGUUGUAAGGUAUUGGAGUGACUUCUGGAAAUGUUUUCUCUAAGAAGGCUUAUGUGAUGUUGUGUUUGCUUGUGGUUGACUGAUCUUGCAUGGCUCCUUGAAAGAAAAGGCUUUUUUUUUUUUUUAAGAAAAAGGGGGGAAAAAAGGAGGAGGGUGUUUAAAAUGGCUAAAUCAUGUAAAAUAUGAUUUAAAGUUAUCAACAUAAAGCAACCACACAACUAGCUGGAGAAGGGAAAACCUAGUCUUUCAGCUAGUAAUUUACGUACGCAAUGUUAAAACAGGAAUGACGGAUUUUUUUUUUUUUUUUUAAGCCUGCAUGGUGGAGCUGAUCUGGCAUGUAAAAAAGAGGCCAAAAGUUUUGGGACAGUGGAAUGUGCUGUCAGGCAAACUGGGAAAGAGGCAGGCCUGAGAUUAUUACUCCAUGGCCGUGGUUGAACUGGGGCCUUAUCUGAAAAAAGGAAAAAGGAUGAUUUGGACAACUGCUGGCAAGCCCUUUCCAGCCCAUGGACACAGUACAUAGACAAAGAAUGCUUUGGUGAUGAAAAUAAGCCACAUCUUAGUGAACUGAAUUAAGUUUUCAAUAUUGACUCCAAACAGUGCUUUUCAGCUCCCUUCCCCCGACAUGAACUUAAUCACUGAGUUAGGAUUUCAUGCCCUCUUUUUUUCUGUAGUUAAAAAUAUUCACCACGAAAUAUUAGCCUUAGGGAAGAACCCAUGUGGGACAUUUCUGAGUUUAGUUCCAAUGUAACUUGCUUUUUUUUUUUUUUCUUUUUGGUAGAUGAAUUUGUAGUGGUCUUCUGUUACAACAUGGGAACAAUAUUUCCCAACAUGUUAAACCAUUUUCUGCGCUGCCUCAUUUGAGCAAAAUUCAGUUUUCCAGUUUUCAGCAUUUACGCUUUCUCCUUCCUUUACAGGGGCAGAGUUUACAUUCAGUCUUUACUCCCAAGCCACCACAAGUUCUAUUAGAAACAUGUAUCUUAAACAAAAGAAAUAUAACAUGAACUAGGGGUUCUGACCUUUUUACAUGAAUCUUAUGAAAAAAAAACAUUUAAGAAAAAACCAUCUUCCUAUUUAA